rnacentral:rRNA from 1 species
UACGUAGGUGGCAAGCGUUGUUCGGAAUAACUGGGCGUAAAGGAUGCGUAGGCGGUUGAGUAAGUUAUGUGUUAAAUAUAUAGGCUUAACCUGUAGAAAGCACAUAAAACUGUUUAACUAGAGUGCAGGAGAGGUAAGUGGAAUUCCUAGUGUAGCGGUGAAAUGCGUAGAGAUUAGGAAGAACACCAGUGGCGAAGGCGACUUACUGGACUGUAACUGACGCUGAGGCAUGAGAGCAUGGGGAGCAAACAGG